rnacentral:lncRNA from 1 species
AUUCUCCACUCUCCUUAAUAAAUAAGUCAACAAUGAACAGAGUCUUGUUUAAUUAAUUAGAGAUAGAUUGGCCCGUUGUGGCAGGCGGAUUAAAAUACAAAACAAGUGUUCACCAAUCUAUCCAUACAUUUCACGCCACGUUACGUAUAUUCAUUGCUGUCGCUGCCGGCCCCACACAACUCUGCACCACCCAAUGCCCAUUUUACCAGGCCCUUCUAAAUUACAUCGUUUUUAAUUCAGUCACCCAUUAUCUUCCCUCUCCCGCCGACACAGCUGCCGUUGCCGCCGGCGGCUUCCAGUUGUCUUUGUUCUCACAGGACCCUAGGAUGCUAUAUAUGCAUCUUUUGACGCAUUUUAUUAAUUGAAUUGAAGUUAAAAAAAUAUUAAAAGAUGUCGUUAAUUCGAAGAAGAAAAGCACCUGAAAAUGAAAUUUCAACGGAUGCGGAGCCAAAGCCUGAUGCCGAAGAAGACGAUAAGAAAAGUAAGAAGAAUGUAAAGGCAGGAAACAAGCAGAAAUGGUCGUGCAUGGAUGCGGAGCCAAAGCCUGAUGCAGAAAAAGACGAUAAGAAAAGUAAGAAGAAUAUAAAGGCAGGAAACAAGCAGAAAUGGUCGUGCAUCGACAGUUGCUGUUGGUUUAUAGGAUGUAUAUGCUGUGUGUGGUGGCUUCUGCUGUUUUUGCACC